UGAAUAUUGGGCAACAGGGGCAAACAUCAUCAAGCAGCACCGCCUGAGGAAAGAAGACUUUCUUGUUAUAAACAUCUUUCAUCGGUGACGAAAAAAAUGACGGUAGCCAAGAAGGAAGCCCCGGCUAACUACGUGCCAGCAGCCGCGGUAAUACGUAGGGGGCGAGCGUUGUCCGGAAUUAUUGGGCGUAAAGGGUGCGUAGGCGGCCUUUUAAGUCGGAUGUGAAAUGUCCCGGGCUUAACUUGGGUGGUGCAUUUAAUACUGUAGGGCUAGAGUGCAGGAGAGGUAAGCGGAAUUCCUGGUGUAGCGGUGAAAUGCGUAGAUAUUAGGAGGAACACCAGUGGCGAAGGCGGCUUUCUGGACUGUAACUGACACUGAGGCACGAAA
rnacentral:rRNA from 1 species